UCCAAAAUUUGGGCAUUGCGCUGUUACAUUAUAAAAUAUAUUUUUCCCUCCACUUACAAAGUUCAAAAUUUUCCUCUAUGAGAAAAACCAUAAUUUUUCCAUCGAUCGGAAAUGAAUUAUCAAAGAAUUUACAGAGACAUGGAAGAAGUGCGUCGAAGACUAGAUCGCUGGGAGUCCACCUGCAUCCAUUCCUUGGAACGCUGUAAAUACACAGCUCGCGAUAUUGCUCAUUAUAUAGGAAAGAUUAAAGAACUUGAAACACUUAAUGGCAAGUUGGAGCAGACUUAUCUUCACACAAAGGCGGUGAAUGGAAACAAACGUGAGCAAUGGCUGGUUAAUGCUGAGUCACUUUCUUCCACUAAGUCCACAAUUGAAGACCUUAAGAAGAUGAAGCAAGAAUUGAGUGCAAGGAGGUGUGAGCGUGAAAUGAUAAUAUCUGAUCAGUUGACUGGAGACAGUGAUAAGCCUGAUGUUGGAUUCAAGAGAGGGCAAAAGGAGGCUGUGGCAUGGUACAAUAGAGCACUUGGCUUUCGUAUUGAAUCUGGACAUGGCAUUAAAUUCAUAUUUGUCAAUGUUGAUCAAAUAUGUCCAGAUCGUGAGUUUUCAUUCAGCAUCCGUCAUUGCAGAAGUAACGACUGCUACAGCUGUAUGUUGAUACUAAUUGCAGUUAAUUGUUUCUAUAGUUAUUGGAUUGUGACCCCAUCUUUGAAGGUACUGAAGAAUUACUUGAUGAGUUGAAUCGGACUAAUGAUCUUUUCAAAUUUGUAAGGGUUAUGAGGGGAAAGUUUCAAGAACACUCAUCGAAGGGUUGAACACUGGUUUUUGUUAGGGGGCAAGUCUUAUUAAUCCCUCAUCAAAAUGAAAAAGGGUGCAGCCUGUAUGCUCAUUCUUACGUGGAAAUGGUGGCAAAUAGCUUUGUCAAUGGACAAGGUUGGUAAUUUCUUAAUAUCUCUGAGGUGGGAGAUAGAUGCCUUUGGUACAGUGUUUCCAUUAAGGGUUGUGCAUAAUAACUAAAUUGAAAUAUGGUACAAAAUGAGAAAACCUAGCAGAACAUGGCAGUGACACAUGUUAGAAGCCAACGUUAUGUAAAAUGCAGUAUUUUACAAAAGCCUUUGCAAAUAAGCAAGUCCUCAAAAGAAACAUUCAUGUCCAAAAAUAUGUUAUAGUGAAAGGACUGAAUGUGUAUUUCAAUUUUGUCUUAGCCUUGCUAUUACUUUUUUGCAUUCUCGGAAUAAAAUUACAUCUUUUCAUUUCUUUAA